UAUAAAGCAGUGUAUGUUGCACAUAGAGUUUUGAUUUCUAUAGAAAAAGGUAGUUCCUUUUCUUUAUAA
rnacentral:tRNA from 1 species